rfam:Gossypium raimondii Chr10_contig_51, whole genome shotgun sequence.
UGUUAAUAACUUAACUCAUUUGUAUUGUUAAAACUAGCUUGGCUGAUGAAAUAAUUUGAUAGUAAUACGUGAUAUGUGAUAUGUAUUUCAUGCUAAUGUAGAAGGGCAAGCUUUUAACGGUAGAAAUGGAUUAAACUUUUAACG